UGAGGCAGGAGAAUUGCUUGAACCCAGGAGGUGGAGGCUGCAGUGAGCCAAGAUUGCGCCACUGUGCUCCAGCCUGGAUGACAGAGCGAGACUCCGUCUC
rnacentral:miRNA from 1 species